AUUGAACGCUGGCGGCAGGCCUAACACAUGCAAGUCGAACGGUAACAGGAAGACGCUUGCUUCUUUGCUGACGAGUGGCGGACGGGUGAGUCAUGUCUGGGAAACUGCCUGAUGGAGGGGGAUAACUACUGGAAACGGUAGCUAAUACCGCAUAACGUCGCAAGACCAAAGAGGGGGACCUUCGGGCCUCUUGCCAUCGGCUGUGCCCAGAUGGGAUUAGCUAGUAGGUAGGGUAACGGCUCACCUCGGCGACGAUCCCUAGCUGGUCUGAGAGGAUGACCAGCCACACUGGAACUGAGACACGGUCCAGACUCCUACGGGAGGCAGCAGUGGGGAAUAUUGCACAAUGGGCGCAAGCCUGAUGCAGCCAUGCCGCGUGUAUGAAGAAGGCCUUCGGGUUGUAAAGUACUUUCAGCGGGGAGGAAGGGAGUAAAGUUAAUACCUUUGCUCAUUGACGUUACCCGCAGAAGAAGCACCGGCUAACUCCGUG
rnacentral:rRNA from 1 species